rnacentral:rRNA from 1 species
AGUUGGGAAUCUUGCACAAUGGGGGAAACCCUGAUGCAGCGACGCCGCGUGGAGGAUGACGGAUCUAGGUCUGUAAACUCCUUUUUCAGGGAAAGACUUAGGACGGUACCCUGAGAAUAAGGACCGGCUAACUACGUGCCAGCAGCCGCGGUAAGACGUAGGGUCCAAGCGUUGUCCGGAUUUACUGGGCGUAAAGGGCGCGUAGGCGGCCUGUUAAGUGUGAAGUGAAAUCUCCAGAGCUCAACUCGGAAACGGCUUUACAUACUGGCAGGCUAGAGGAAUGCAGAGGUGAGUAGAAUUCCUGGUGUAACGGUGAAAUGUGUAGAUAUCAGGAGGAAUACCCAUGGCGAAGGCAGCUCACUGGGCAUUAUCUGACGCUGAGGCGCGAAAGCGUGGGGAGCAAACAGGAUUAGAUACCCUGGUAGUCCACGCCCUAAACGAUGGAUACUAGGCGUAAGAGGUAUCGACCCCUCUUGUGCCGCAGCUAACGCAUUAAGUAUCCCGCCUGGGGAGUACGGCCGCAAGGUUGAAACUCAAAUGAAUUGACGGGACCCCGCACAAGCGGUGGAGCAUGUGGAUUAAUUCGAUACUAACCGAAGAACCUUACCCAGGUUUGACAUCGAUUGUAACAUCUAGAGAUAGGUGCCUCUUCUCAAAAGGAAGACAUGAAGACACUUGUUGCAUGGCUGUCGUCAGCUCGUGCCGUGAGGUGUACGGUUAAGUCCGCCAACGAGCGCAACCCUCGUUCUAUGUUGCCAGCGGGUAAUGCCGGGAACUCAUAGGAGACUGCCCAUGUAAGUGGGAGGAAGGUGGGGAUGACGUCAAGUCAGCAUGGCAGUUACGCCUGGGGCUUCACACAUGCUACAAUGGGCGAAACAGAGGGCAGCAAUGUCGCGAGACGGAGCUAAUCCCAAAAAUACGUCCUCAGUUCAGAUUGCAGUCUGCAACUCGACUGCAUGAAGGCGGAAUCGCUAGUAAACGCAGGUCAGCUAUACUGCGUUGAAUACGUUCCCGGGGUUUGUACACACCGCCCGUCAAGUCACCUGAAUUGUCUUCACCCGAAGUCCGUGGCCUAACCGUAAGGAGGGAGCGGCCGAAGGUGAGGGGGGUAAGGGGGACU